rnacentral:rRNA from 1 species
ACAGCAGCAGCCACGGGAAUACGUAGGGUGCGAGCGUUAAUCGGAAUUACUGGGCGUAAAGCGUGCGCAGGCGGUUUUGUAAGACAGGCGUGAAAUCCCCGGGCUCAACCUGGGAAUGGCGCUUGUGACUGCAAAGCUAGAGUUCGGCAGAGGGGGAUGGAAUUCCGCGUGUAGCAGUGAAAUGCGUAGAUAUGCGGAGGAACACCGAUGGCGAAGGCAAUCCCCUGGGCCUGCACUGACGCUCAUGCACGAAAGCGUGGGGAGCAAACAGGAUUAGAUACCCGUGUAGUCCCUGUCUCUUAUAC